UGUAUAGCUCAGUCAGUAGAGCAUGAGACUUUUAACCCCAGGGUUGUGGGUUUGAGCCCCAUGUUGGGAAAA